rnacentral:rRNA from 1 species
GUCCACGCCGUAAACGAUGAGUGCUUGGUGUAGCGGGUAUCGACCCCUGCUGUGCCGAAGUCAACACAUUAAGCACUCCGCCUGGGGAGUACGGUCGCAAGACUGAAACUCAAAGGAAUUGACGGGGGCCCGCACAAGCGGUGGAGCAUGUGGUUUAAUUCGAAGCAACGCGCAGAACCUUACCUGGGUUUGAACUGUACAGGCAAGUCUCAGAGAUGAGAGCCCCUCUUCGGAGGACUGUAUAGAGGUGCUGCAUGGCUGUCGU